UACGAAGGGUGCAAGCGUUACUCGGAAUUACUGGGCGUAAAGCGUGCGUAGGCGGUUUGUUAAGUCCGUUGUGAAAGCCCUGGGCUCAACCUGGGAACUGCAGUGGAUACUGGCAGGCUAGAGUGCGGUAGAGGAUGGUGGAAUUCCCGGUGUAGCGGUGAAAUGCGUAGAGAUCGGGAGGAACAUCGAUGGCGAAGGCAGCCAUCUGGACCAGCACUGACGCUGAGGCACGAAAGCGUGGGGAG
rnacentral:rRNA from 1 species